rnacentral:misc_RNA from 1 species
GUUGUAAAUGAUAUUAAAUGGCAAGAGCGAGGAAGGAAAAAAGAAAAGAACUUUUUGCUUCUGUUGUCUUCAAUUUGGAUUCUGAUAAACAGAAUGGACAGAAAGUGAAAAGGAGAGAGAAAAUCUUUGGUUGAAGAAUUAUUUGGGGCUUUUAGAAAGGAAACUUUAAGCUUGGAUGGAUUUUCUUUUAACAGUGGAUAACAAUUUCACUACAAAAGCUUCAGGCUUCAGAGGUACAGUAAAGACCAAAGAAAGGAUAGAGGCCCUUGGUUUGCUCUUCUGAUCUAAACCCUUUUCGGCACUCCUAUUUAGUUCAUGAAAAG